CAGUAGCCGCGGUAAUACGAAGGGUGCAAGCGUUAAUCGGAAUUACUGGGCGUAAAGCGUGCGUAGGCGGUGAGUUAAGUCUGCUGUGAAAUCCCCGGGCUCAACCUGGGAACUGCAUCUGUGACUGCAUCGCUGGAGUGCGGCAGAGGGGGAUGGAAUUCCGCGUGUAGCAGUGAAAUGCGUAGAUAUGCGGAGGAACACCGAUGGCGAAGGCAAUCCCCUGGGCCUGCACUGACGCUCAUGCACGAAAGCGUGGGGAGCAAACAGGAUUAGAGACCCGCGUAGUCCCUGUCUCUUAUAC
rnacentral:rRNA from 1 species